AAACUUAAAAGCUAUUAAACCUACAUACAAAGCAUAACUACAAGAAGGUUUCUGUUGUCCCUUAAAUUGCUUGGUAGUUCAUAUGCAUUAGAAGAUAAUGACACUAAAGGAUAGUAAACCAUUUCCACUUGCUGCUCUCACAAUGUUCUACUUAGUUAAAGGGCUCUGCCAAAAAAGAAAUGUGGGUCUUGAGAAGACUAGAAACAAAUGUGGAUACAUUACUCUGUUUUCCGAAGACCUAAUUGAAAUUGGUUACCAUGUCAUCUUUAUUUUACUUUUAACGAAAAGAACAUUGUUCUACUCUUCUUGUAGAAUCAAGAUUUAUAAAGAUUUCAUACUCCUACUCAAUCUUUAGAUAAUCUAUAUGGCACAUGUCUUGUCUAGCUCUCUUUACUUGUCAAGCAAAACCACCUCACUUGUCAGAGAACAUGGAGAUUACCUUCGUGGCCGAGGCCGUACAUCUCUCUCUUUCUCUCUGCAAUUUUUUUGUGGUGCAAACUUAAACCCCUAUGUGUGCAGUCAGGCCUUGGAGCAGAAGCAAGAUGUAGACGUUGAAUAAGGUGAGAACAUGUAGGAACUUCCGUACAAUCCAAGGAGUUGUCUUGUGAACCAGAAUAUGCUUGAAUAAGAGGGAUAAGUCAAGGACAGCCUCAAAGAUGCAAACUUGGCAAGGUUAUACACACGCAGGUGUGGUUUCCUUAUCAGUUUGGUUUUGUCGUGAAACAAUCUUUGAAGCCUUGCAAAGGUGGAAUGGAAGAGCUCCCUCUGAUGGCCUACUCCUGGGCUUCUGUAUUGUCUUGAUGGGCUUGGCUUGUGUCCCUAUUGUGGCUCUCCACUUCUCUCAUGUCUUGGAAGAAGAUCCAGGUUGCUAUUCAAGGGCAUCUAACUCUGUUUUUGAGCCUGUGGUAGAUGUACAAAUGAAUAUCAAGAGAAGGACCUGGUUGGACGAUUCAUGAAUGUAUUUAUGAAUGUCAAGAUAUCAAGGUAAAUUGUCUUAAAGUUUAAAAUUUUCCCCCUGAUAAACGAACAAUGAUUAACCUUUUAUGUGCACAAUAAGAUGUUGGCACUUGGUAAGUCUUGUUCUGUCAUGAACAGCAUUGUUACAUCCAACCUUCUUUAUUCUUUCUUUUCAGGUUUCCUCCUGUUUAUUGUGGAAUUCAAAUAUUUGAAUUCCACCGGAAUGUGUUUUAUUAUGUGAAGUGAAGAGAUCUGGAUCAUAACUUCUCUACAUUCUUGUAAAAUGUCAAUUAACAGUUCAUAUGCAACUAAGUAAAUAUAGUCACUUGACUCAAUUUCUCAUAACUUUGUUAUCAUGUCCAUGCCUCAUUCACCAAAAUGAUUAACUAAUCCUUUUGAUAUAAUAAACUGAUUUCAGUGGGAGAGGAGAGGCAACAACCAAUACACCCAAGCGGAUCAAGUGCGAAAUGAGUGGGGGAAGUUUGUUGUCAACACAUGUGCAUAAGCCAUGAAGUAGCGCGCUUGUUGCUGGUACAUUUUUGCUAAAGAAAGCAUCUUUUUUGUGCUUCUCUGCUGGUAGAUUGUCAUGCACCAUGUGUGGCAUGUUUUGGAACAAUAGAUAUAUAUGUAUCAACUUUUUGAUGUCCCAAGUAGAUGGGCA